rnacentral:rRNA from 1 species
UACGUAGGGGGCGAGCGUUGUCCGGAGUUACUGGGCGUAACGGGCAUGCAGGCGGUCCGCCCCGUUUUGUGUGACAGCGGGUGGCUUAACUACCCGAGGAUACGAAAGACGGUUGGACUUGAGGACUCGAGAGGGACACGGAAUUCCGGGUGGAGUGGUGAAAUGCGUAGAGAUCCGGAGGAACACCGAAGGCGAAGGCAGUGUCCUGGCGAGUGACUGACGCUGAGGUGCGAAAGCCAGGGGAGCGAACGGG